UACGGAGGUGGCAAGCGUUGUUCGGAAUUACUGGGCGUAAAGGGCGCGUAGGCGGGAUGGUCCGUCCGAUGUAAAAGUGCUACCGCUCAACGGAGCAAAGUCAUCGGAUACCGCCAUUCUGGAGUCCGGGAGAGGUAAGCGGAAUUCCUAGCGUAGCGGUGAAAUGCGUAGAUAUUAGGAGGAACACCAGUGGCGAAGGCGACUUACUGGACUGUAACUGACACUGAGGCACGAAAGCGUGGGGAGCGAA
rnacentral:rRNA from 1 species